AAACCAACCGGGAUUGCCUUAGUAACGGCGAGUGAAGCGGCAAAAAGCUCAAAUUUGAAAUCUGGUACCUUCGGUGCCCGAGUUGUAAUUUGGAGAGGGCAACUUUGGGGCCGUUCCUUGUCUAUGUUCCUUGGAACAGGACGUCAUAGAGGGUGAGAAUCCCGUGUGGCGAGGAGUGCGGUUCUUUGUAAAGUGCCUUCGAAGAGUCGAGUUGUUUGGGAAUGCAGCUCUAAGUGGGUGGUAAAUUCCAUCUAAAGCUAAAUAUUGGCGAGAGACCGAUAGCGAACAAGUACAGUGAUGGAAAGAUGAAAGAACUUUGAAAAGAGAGUGAAAAAGUACGUGAAAUUGUUGAAAGGGAAGGGCAUUUGAUCAGACAUGGUGUUUUAUGCCCUCUGCUCCUUGUGGGUAGGGGAAUCUCGCAUUUCACUGGGCCAGCAUCAGUUUUGGUGGCAGGAUAAAUCCAUAGGAAUGUAGCUUGCCUCGGUAAGUAUUAUAGCCUGUGGGAAUACUGCC
rnacentral:rRNA from 1 species